rnacentral:rRNA from 1 species
AUCGAUGAAGAACGCAUCGAAAUGCGAUAAGUAAUGUGAAUUGCAGAAUUCAGUGAAUCAUCGAAUCUUUGAACGCACAUUGCGCCCUUUGGUAUUCCUUAGGGCACGCCUGUUCGAGCGUCACUAAAAACCCCAUCACAUUAUGUGUGGUAUUGGCAGAAGUGGGUAGUCCCACCCUGCUGGAAUGAAUAGGCUGGAAAAGUAGACCAUAGCAACAKACUUWCAGAGUGUUUUURAAUGCUAAAUUAGUUUGAAGCCGGUUGGAACCCCAGGGCCAUUUGACCCCCAUUGUGCAUGAAGCAGUAAGGUUGACCUCGGAUCAGGUAGGGAUACCCGCUGAACUUAAGCAUAUCAAUAAGCGGAG